UACGUAGGGGGCUAGCGUUGUCCGGAUUUAUUGGGCGUAAAGAGCGUGUAGGCGGCCAGAUAGGUCUGCUGUGAAAACUCGAGGCUCAACCUCGAGAUGUCGGCGGAAACCAUUUGGCUAGAGUCCGGAAGAGGAAAGUGGAAUUCCUGGUGUAGCGGUGAAAUGCGCAGAUAUCAGGAAGAACACCCGUGGCGAAGGCGGCUUUCUGGGACGGUACUGACGCUCAUGCACGACAGCGUGGGGAUCAAACAGG
rnacentral:rRNA from 1 species